UACGGGGGGGGCAAGCGUUGUUCGGAAUUACUGGGCGUAAAGCGUGCGCAGGCGGUUCGUUGUGUCUGUGGUGAAAGCCCCGGGCUUAACCUGGGAAUGGCCAUGGAAACUGGCGAGCUGGAGUGUGGCAGAGGGGGGUGGAAUUCCGCGUGUAGCAGUGAAAUGCGUAGAGAUGCGGAGGGACACCGAUGGCGAAGGCAGCCCCCUGGGUUGACACUGACGCUCAGGCACGAAAGCGUGGGGAGCAAACAGG
rnacentral:rRNA from 1 species